UGUGGUGUUCAUACCGAGGAGGAUACACCCGUUCCCAUUCCGAACACGGAAGUUAAGCUCCUCAGGGUCGAUGGUACUCGAUGAAAAUCGGGGAGAGUAGAACGAUGCCACGG
rnacentral:rRNA from 2 species